rnacentral:lncRNA from 1 species
UGGCCCUGUAUUCCACUAAUUAGUAAAGUUUUCUAUGGGCUUUAUUUUUUAUGCAUGCAGGUUGAUGGGUCUCCCUCUGUGAAAACUAGCAUAAUGCAGAGAAAAGAAAUUCUUAGUUUUGCCAGAGGAGUGAUAACCCGGUGAACAACCGACAGCUGCAAGUGCUCACUGGUGGAUUAUUCUACUACAAGAUAACCGGACAUGGACUCUCCCUUUCUGAUCUUUCUGUUCCUCCUCUUGUGAGGAGUGAGGU